ensembl:miRNA
CUGUCUUCGGCUUCUUUACAGUGCUGCCUUGUUGCAUAUGGAUCAAGCAGCAUUGUACAGGGCUAUGA